ensembl:lncRNA
UUACAUGCCCUGGAAGUCAGAAGCGAUCAGUGGUGUUCACACUGGACGUGGAGCUGUUUGUAUAACUUUCAUCUCCCUGCACUUACACAUGAAUCUCAGUCUAAUAAAUUCAACCUUGUCAUUUUUAGAAUCGACGGGAUUUCUCUGGCUGUCGUUUGCGCUGCAUUUAUUCGAAUAAAUCCAGCUCGCAGGCAUCCUGCAGGAAACGGCUCCCGGCUCGCGUGUACGCCAACACCUCGGCCCAACGCGGGACUCGAGGUGGCUCCUAGUGCCUGGGCGGCUGCUAGUCCGGCAUCCGAGGGAGGCUGGACAAGCGGCGCCCCCAGGUUGAGCGGCCUCUCGCUGCCUGGCAGCCCCCAGCUCUGCUGGUGCUUCGGAAACCCGCCUGGCCAGGCACUUGCCGUCGGCCUCUCCCCUGCCCGCCUGACCCAGGAGGCGCCCACACCUGCGCCCUCACUUGCCGAGACUUUACCUGUGCAGUCCCCCGCGGCGCCUGCAGCCGCGCAGGUAACCGAGAAAUGGAAAGGAGGGCUGGGGAGUGGGAGGGACAGAGAGCACCGCCCGACACAGCCAGACGCGCGGACCAGGGGCCUCCUCUCUGGACCGGUGCUGGGGCCCUGGCAGAACCAGCUCCGGGAGCCGAAUUGCGCCAGGAAGAGUGGGCCGGGGGAGGGGCGAGGGGAACGGGCCUCCGGAGGGAGGGGCGGCCCCGGCGGCACUUCCGCUGGGGGUGGGGCUGCGGGCUGACGCGCCGGUCCCGCCCCUCAGCCGCGCGGGCCCGCCCGCUCGAGGCCAGGCUCCGCCCCCACCGCCCCGGAGCGGGAUCUCAGGUCACGGCCCCCCCAAGCGCCCCCGUCUCCGGAAGCCUCAGGCUGAACCGGGUUUCGUGGGAGGGCAGAGGGCGGCUCCCUUUUCCUCACCUGGGGGUACUCUCUUUUUAAGUCAUAGGAACAGAAGCAUCUGCGGACUAGGAUCCCAGGCCCAAACUUGCACGUGAGAUUUGUUGAAACUUAGGUCAUUUGUUACUCCUGGCCCAGGGGUCCUCACGCUCUCUCUGCGGAUGUGAGCAGCCAUCCUCUCGGACAGUCGGGAAUAUAGUCCAUGAUCACAGGGUCCCACCUAUCCUUCAGGAAGAACAAAAACAAAAACUAACACUUUUUGAUUGUUCAUUUUGUGCCAGGUGCCAUUUAGAAAAUUUCGUAUGAAUUAUGUCCUCGCCCACAGCGACUCUCUGAGGUAGGUACCAUGAAUGCCCCAUUUCAUAGAUAAAGAAAUUGAGGCACAGAGAGAAUAAAUCGGCCUUGCCUCACCCA